GACGAACGCUGGCGGCGUGCCUAAUACAUGCAAGUCGAACGCAGUGGGGACGGGUGAGUAACACGUGGGUUACCUCCCAUCAGGGGGGAUAACACUUGGAAAAAGGUGCUAAACCGAGACUGAUGGAGGGAUCCGAGGUGGAUGAGCUAGUUGGUUUGAUAACGGCUAACCAAGGCCACGAUGGAUAGCCGGCCGGCUGGGUGGAUCGGCAACAUUGGGACUUGGACACGGCCCAGACUCCUACGGGAGGCAGCAGGAGGGAAUCUUCGGCAAUGGACGAAAGUCUGACAGAGCAACGCGGCGUGAGUGAAGAAGGUUUUAGGAUCGUAAAACUCUGUUGUUAGAGAAGCGGUAUCUAACCAGAAAGCCACGGCUAACUACGUGCCAGCAGCCGCGGUAAUUC
rnacentral:rRNA from 1 species